UUUCGAAAUUUCCUGUAUUUGUUUUGUGAAAAAUGAAUUCUCAUAGGAAAAUAUUUUACAAACACGGUAAAAUCCAAAGCUUUUUUUGGAAAUUGUCUUACCCAUUUCUCUACCGUAAGACAUUUUCCUUUCUCCUUUCUCUUCUAAGCAAAUUUUCUUCCACAUCUUCAUCUCCGUUCAUCACCUCGCCUCACCAUCUCCGUCCGUCAUCUCCGUUGACCGUCGGCCAUACUUCUAUUUUGAAGAAACCCUAAAAAAUUGGCAGGCACAGUCAAGAAAAGAAAACCCAGAAGCAGUGGUUCUCUCUCUGUCAUCAACAGUUGGUCGUGGAAAGAAUGUUGGCUUCUGAAGGAAUAAAAAGGGUAGAACUGGGCAGAGAUGAAUUUGAAAAACGAGUUUGGGAGUGGAAAGAGAAGUAUGGUGGGACCAUUACUAAUCAGAUUAAGAGACUUGGGGCUUCUUGUGACUGGACUAGAGAAUGUUUCACCCUCGAUGAGCAGCUAAGUCGAGCUGUUAUAGAGGCAUUUAUUAGACUUCACAAAAAAGGAUUAAUUUAGAUUCCUCACUUGAGACCUGCGGAAUACAAGAGGUCUAGAUUACCUAGGAAAAAGAGGACUGUGAACCGUGCCUAUGGUGGUGUGUUAUCUGGCGGUGCAAUCAGGGAGAGGUGUGCUUUGAUCUAUUCUCAAACAAUAUUAAUAGUUCAUGCCUUAGUAAUUUUUCUUCUUUUUAGGACAAUGACAGAUGCUUCAAAUGUGAAUUAUUUUGACCUUAACACUUAAUGAAUAAUUUACGAAAAUGUCAAUGGUUUUUUAUGGGAUUAUUCGGGCCUUUUUGGUUGAAGAACAGAAGAUAGUGAAGAAGGUUUUGAAGAUUCAGAAAACCAAGGAAAAGGUUUCAUCAAAGAACCAGUUCAACUGAUAAAAGAUUCAUUAUGACAGGAAGUAACAAUGUUGUUUUUGAUUUUUUGUUUUUUUCUUCUAGUUCUACGCAUUUUCAGACAUCUCUUGUACAAGUAAAUUUCAUAAAUAAACUUCAUAAAUAGAGAAAGAAUCAAGACACCGCAUGUUGUAUCAA